rnacentral:snoRNA from 1 species
CGGGAUGAUGUGAGGGUAGGUAGCUGAGCUGUGAUGACCUAAUCGGCCCCUGACC